rnacentral:rRNA from 1 species
AGAGUUUGAUCCUGGCUCAGGAUGAACUUUGGCGGCGUGCCUAACACAUGCAAGUCGAACGGACUUAUAACGAAACCUAGUGAAUUAUAAGUUAGUGGCGGACGGGUGAGUAACGCGUGGAAAACCUGCCGUAUACUGGGGGAUAACACUUAGAAAUAGGUGCUAAUACCGCAUAAGCGCACAGCUUCGCAUGAAGCAGUGUGAAAAACUCCGGUGGUAUACGAUGGUUCCGCGUCUGAUUAGCUAGUUGGUGAGGUAAAAGCCCACCAAGGCAACGAUCAGUAGCCGGCCUGAGAGGGUGAACGGCCACAUUGGGACUGAGACACGGCACAGACUCCUACGGGAGGCAGCAGUGGGGGAUAUUGCACAAUGGGGGAAACCCUGAUGCAGCGACGCCGCGUGAGUGAAAAAGUAUUUCGGUACGUAAAGCUCUAUCAGCAGGGAAGAAAAAAAGUCCACAGGACUUUGGACGGUACCUGACUAAGAAGCCCCGGCUAACUACGUGCCAGCAGCCGCGGUAAUACGUAGGGGGCAAGCGUUAUCCGGAUUUACUGGGUGUAAAGGGAGCGUAGACGGCUGUGCAAGUCUGAAGUGAAAUGCCGGGGCCCAACCCCGGAACUGCUUUGGAAACGGUACAGCUAGAGUGCAGGAGGGGUGAGCGGAAUUCCUAGUGUAGCGGUGAAAUGCGUAGAUAUUAGGAGGAACACCGGUGGCGAAGGCGGCUCACUGGACUGUAACUGACGUUGAGGCUCGAAAGCGUGGGGAGCAAACAGAAUUAGAUACCCUCGUAGUCCACGCCGUAAACGAUGAU